GUAUUUUUGCGAGUUAACGCUGUGACAUUCUAAUACUUUUGUGGGGUAUGUAAGGGUGCACGAGGCCUUCCGAUCUCUCUUCGGACCUCGCACUUGGUUCACAGUGGGGUGGAUAGUGAAGGGACGCCGCGACGGACGAGCACAUGCCCUCGCGGGCCAGCUCGAGACCGAACGCGUCGUUCCAGACUUCGCUAAUGAUCCUUCCGCAGGUUCACCUACGGAAA
rnacentral:misc_RNA from 1 species